rnacentral:rRNA from 1 species
CGCGGUAAUACGUGGAAGACUAGUGUUAUUCAUCUUUAAUAGGUUUAAAGGGUACUUAGACGGUAAAUUAAGCCCAGAUAAAAACAAAGGGUACUAAUUAUACUAGAGUUUGAUAAGAGGAGGGUGUGUACUAGUGGUGUAGAGAUGAAAUUCAGUCAUACCAUUAUGACAGGCAACGGCGAAAGCAACCUUUAGAUAAAAACUGACGUUAAAGGACGAAGGCUUUGUGUCACCAACAGGAUUAGAUACCCAAGCAGUCUUAGCAGACAAUUAUGAAUGCCAUAGGUAAGAAGAAAAGACAUUUAUUUUUUCUUUUUUUGGCAUAAUUUAUAGAUAAUAUAAAUAAAAAAAGAAAUAGAAUGUCACAUUUCUUUUUUUGGCAUAAUUUAUAGAUAAUAUAAAUGAAAAAAGAAAUAGGAUGUAACAUUAUCUAUAAAAGAUGAUGUUUUUUUUGUCUAUAAAUGAAAGUGUAAGCAUUCCACCUCAA